AAAGCAUAAGCAAGGUACAUAAUGUUGCUUCCUGUAUACUGUAAUACCAGUUGUGCAUUCUUAAAAUUCAGAAAUUGAACUGAGAACUGUAAUUAAAUCAAAUGGAUGAUAACCUGCAUAAGGGUGAAACUUUGUGGAGAUUUUCUUACUUCGCAUGGAUCAAAGGUUCUCCUUUUUAUGUAGCCGCAAAGUCUGGCACAUCUCCAUAUAUAAUUGGAGGUUGUCUCUUUUUCUUGUCUUGAAGUUUCAUUCUCCUUCCAAUCUUGCUACUUUUGUUGAUUGUCUCGACUUGCAUCAAUAAGAUAACAAUUUAAAAUAAGUUUUAUCAUCGAAGCUAAAAUCAAUUAGGAACCUCCAACGCCUAACUAGAACUAUUGCAUUUUUUGUUUUAAUUUUUUUGUGAUAGCACACACAAAAUAUUCAUCAUUAGUAAUGGAUCACCUUGUUGGAUUACAUAUAUGUUUUGUUUUAACCAUCUUGCAGGUUUCUAACCUUCCUUGUUAUGUGGCCUGUCUUUUCUUUUCAUUGUUGAUUCCUGCACAUUAGAGAGUGCAAAUAUAAAGCUAAAGCUCUCUUUUCAAUCCAAUGAAAUGCAAGCUCUUAUGCGUUUUCUUGAAAAUAUCAAAUAAAGCUAAAGUGGAUGCUAUUAUAAUAUUAUUAUAGACAGUGGUGGAGCUAGAGAUCGUGCUUUGGUGUGGCGAUGGACAACGAUAAAUAUCAUGGCGGUGCUCCCGCUGGUCAUUGGACAUGGGAGUACCCUUCUCGGCCGCUUGAGACCUUGACCAGCCGCCCCGCUUGAUGGUGGGUGUGCUACUAUUACAGAUUAAUGUUCAAAUUUAUGGAUAUUCAUUAUUUUUGUUACUUUUCACCCUAUAAAUAAUUUGUUUGGUCGUAUAAGUAAAGGAGAUCUAUUUUUGAGACCAGUGAUUUGUAGAAAUCUUUAAUUAUAAAGAGGAACUUAAGUUUCAAUCAUCAUGUGAAUACAAAAAUAUCGUGAGUAUUUUUUAGUAGAAGCCGACCGAAGCAAUCUCUACCUGAUUAAUGAGGAACUUUAUUAGACAAAAUUACUGAGGUACUCAUGCAAAAUAUUAUGUGAACCAUUAGCUAAUCUACAAACUCCAAGUGAUUACCAUAUUGCACUGCCCUGUGCUUCUUAAUGGAUUUGAGAUCUAUGGAAGCCAUCCCACAACACAAAAUAUAGUAGAGGAUCAUGCUAGAAUAAGAUUUUAGUUUAGCACUGCCCAGAGUAAUUGAGGGUCUCCAUUUGUUUUUCAUUUUUUGUGGGGGGCAUAGUGGGCGACAUCCUCUCAUUAUCCAUUAAUAGGUCUGAUUUAUAAUUUCAUGCAGAUCGUACAUACUGGAGGUGAUCUAGUUGCUCAAUGGAGCCGGCUGGUGCCCAAUGCCGAAGUGCCACUGGUUGGAGGAAGUUGACCUCAAAGUGUUGUUCACUGGAGGAAGAUGAUGUACAAGGUUGUUCGGAUGCCGAGAGAUUUUAUAUAUGCAUGCGACCAUGAGAUUUUGGUCCUAUCUAGAGAUAUUCUGUUUGGAGAUAUCGAAUAUCUGCAAAUUUCUGAGAGUUUAGAUUUGUUUGGAGAGAUGGCAUCAUUGUACAGUUUUUUGUGGGAAGGAUCUUCAGAGUUUGGUCAUGUUUCUUACCCUGUACGCCCCAUUUUUUAUUAUAUGGGAUGGUCUGACCGCUCGUGGGAUGGUGCGGCCUGUUUUUUCAGUUAAUGGUCCAGUCUAUCAUGAGUUUGUGUACAGGUCCAACCUGUUAUGGUCUCACGUCCGAGAAAU
rnacentral:lncRNA from 1 species